GCGAACCGGGAGCGGCUCCGCGCCCUCCGCCCGGCCGCGCUGCCCGCGGGAACGAAGCGGGGCGCGCACCCCUCGCUCUGCCCCGCCAUCCCGGCACGGCGCCGCCGGGGGUUCCUUUCGAGGCGGCCCCGCGGGGUUCCCCUCCGCUCCGCGCCCACCGCGCCGCACGGGAGCGGUACCCGGCCCUGCGAGGAGCGGAACGGGGCUCCUCUGGAGACAUCUCCUCCAGUCGCGCAGAACCCAGACGGUGUGGUGUUCAAGAGCCGUGGCGGGGCGGCUCUGCUGGAUGCGGCUCGAGCAACUUGCAGGACCACAGAUCGGGCAGGCACAACGGGAACGUGUCCCUUCGCACGAGGCUCAUCUUCACACCCCAGUGUCCGUCAACACAACCUGCCAAACCCCGCGCAGGGAUGUGGAGGCUGAAGGCAGCCCACGAGCACGGAGCGGCCCGCAGCACCGCGGCACACAGCCCGGUGCCACCGGCACGGCCCCGGGGCAGCAGUGCGCAGGGAGGGCCAGGGUGGCUCUGCAGAGUCCGAGCUGGAAGGGCGGCAGCAAUCGCCCAAGGUUUAAAGAAAGCGUGAGGAGCAGGAACCUUGUCUCUGUGGUGCAGAAAACAAGACGAAGGCCUUAAACUGCUCUAAGAGAGAAUCAGGCUGCACUUAGAGACAAAAGACAGCUGCCAAGGAUAGCAGGCCCAGGGCGAGGAGCGGCUCGGUAUGCCGGGUCCUGCUCUGGGCCAGGGGAGCCGAGUGACCUCUGUGGCCCCUCUCCCAGGUCUGCCCCUGACCCCACCAGGGUUUGUGCUUUUGGGACUGUCCUCAUACACCGAGCAGCUGCUCCAGCCGAGGCGUACAGCACACCUCUGAUGGCCUCAAUUCGCAGUGUUUUUUGUCCUUUUCCAUAAAACAUUCACAGGUCUUUGAAAAUCAUGUUUUCCAGUUGCCUACUUUCUAUUUUGCUGUUUUAAUAAAAUCAGUGGCAGAAUUCUCUU